rnacentral:misc_RNA from 1 species
ACACCUCAACUCUCAUGGCUUUUGCAAUGAUGAGCUUGGACUUUGGGGGUCUUGCUGGCCUGUGGUCAGCUCCUCUCAAACAAAUUAGCUUGCCAGUGUUUGGUGGCAUCACGGGUGUGAUAACUAUCUACGCUUGUGGUUUUCCACCAAGUAACCUUCAGUGAUGAAGGUCUGCUGGGGCUCAUAAAUGUCUCUCCUCAGCGAGGACAGCUCUUUGAAC